rnacentral:rRNA from 1 species
UCCACGCCGUAAACGAUGUCAACUAGCCGUUGGGCACUUUAGUGUUCAGUGGCGCAGCUAACGCGUGAAGUUGACCGCCUGGGGAGUACGGCCGCAAGGCUAAAACUCAAAUGAAUUGACGGGGGCCCGCACAAGCGGUGGAGCAUGUGGUUUAAUUCGAUGCAACGCGAAGAACCUUACCUACCCUUGACAUCCUCAGAACUUGUUAGAGAUAACUUGGUGCCUUCGGGAAC